CUCAGACAGGUGUAGCCGCGGCAGGAUCCCGGGGCUGCAAGUGUAUUCGAAGUGUCGAUGAUCAAUGUCCUGCAAUUCACAUUAAUUCUCACAGCUAGCUGUGUUCUU
rnacentral:sRNA from 1 species